ACGGGGAAGUGCUGCAAGGAAACAAGGUGGAGCUCAGUGGCUUGAGCCAAAGAUGUCCGAAUGGGGAAACCCACCUAUUUAUAGGUAUCGUUAACUGAAUACA
rnacentral:rRNA from 1 species